GAUCAUGGCUCAGGACGAACGCUGGCGGCGCGCCUAACACAUGCAAGUCGAACGAGCGAGAGAGAGCUUGCUUUCUCAAGCGAGUGGCGAACGGGUGAGUAACGCGUGAGGAACCUGCCUCAAAGAGGGGGACAACAGUUGGAAACGACUGCUAAUACCGCAUAAGCCCACGGCUCGGCAUCGAGCAGAGGGGAAAGGAGCAAUCCGCUUUGAGAUGGCCUCGCGUCCGA
rnacentral:rRNA from 1 species